UCUUUAUGCACAUCUGGUUGAAUAGACGUUAAAGAAGAAGAUGGCCUCUAAGGUCAAAGUGGCUAUCCACUUAAGAGACCCAAAGUACGCCAUCCCCUCUGUCUCCUUCUGAGCCCACACCUUCCUAAAUUCUUCUAGACUCUGUGUUCCUUACCCCCUGCACCUCAGUCACGUCUGAGGCCUAGCCGCUCCUCCUGUCCUCUCUUCCAUGUGCUUCUGUGGGGUUUGCUUCCUGUGGGUCUGCACCGUUACCGCCUUCAUCACUCAUUUGGAAUUUCUCCUGAGCCACCUUCCUUUUGCACUGUCGUUUGUGCAGGAGAGCCGGCAUGAUGAGGGAGGCCUGGCCCAGUUAUGUCGUGUGGCCUUUUGUUCCCAGCAAGAGUGUUCACUUAGAGACUUCAUUUUGUCUGUUCAUUGGCUCGCAUGGGUAACAGUAAAUGUGUGUUAAUGAUUGCUCAAGAGGUCCGAUUGUGUAAUGGUUGUGAUUUUCAGUCUCGGGACUGAAAGCCUUGUCAGGGCCUAUCGCUGAUUCAUUCCUGUCUCACUGCCUGCCCGUUAUGUGGGUCAGUAUAGAGUGUGGUGGUUUUUUUCACUUGCGCCUCAGAGCCACUAAAAGGAAGACUACCCACUGGGUGUUUGCUGAGUGAGGAGAGUUGACCUGGCUGCUUGUGGUCUGUCUUCAUUUAGAUAAAUACAUGUGUUAGUCAAGUUCUACACUACUAUUCAUUGACCUCGCCGGGCUUCGUUCUACUGCGCUCCAUUCACAGAACUAUCUGUGUCUCUGCAUCUUUUGUGUUUUUGUGGGAAUGCAAGGAACAACCUCAAUGGAAUCUGCUCCCCGAAUUCUGCAAAAGAGAAUGGGGUUCCACCUUCAUCUAAAAGUUACAAAUAACAAAGAGGUUAAUCUGUAAAAUGUCACCAAACAGAAGUAAACUUUAGAUUGUUUUUCAAAAUAAGGUAUGUUUAAUUGUGAAAAUCUGUGUAGGCUAGCGAUUAUAUUUGCCCACAAUUUAAGUCAUAUUUGGGUUUAUCUCAGCCUGGUCAUUAUAAACUAUUCUGAAAUAAUCUAUAUUUCACAUCCUUCAUAUACAAGCAGAUGUUAUGACAGAAUACAUGAAUGUCACAGGUGAGGAUAAAACAGCAAUGACACCAGCAACCAGUGAGAAUAGGGUGAAGUUAUUGUGCCAAUUCACAUAAAAGGCAUCUGGCUAGAACUCACGAGACGCCCUUUGCUCCCAGUCUUUCUGGGUUUUAAGCAUCUUAGGACUUGUCUGCACUCAGUGUACAAGUUGGACAUUAGAUCUAUGAAUUAAUCACAUAUGUAGCCAUGCAAGUUCAAAUUAAUACAAUUUAACUAAAAUUAAAUAUCCCUUGAGUUUGGCCAGCAACACUUCAGUAGUUAGCCUGCUAAUGGUGGCCAUAGAGAGCACAGCCAUGCUCUGUGAGCCAACUUACUCCCAAAGUAAAGGACGCAGAUCACUUCUGUGACACUUUGCCACAAUGUAUUUCACAGAAGUAGCUAAUGGCUGGCCGUGAGGAGGUAAGUAGAGGACUAACAGACUCCACGGUCGGCGCGUGAUGCAGGCAAGUAGAGUGGAUGUUGCGUCAGCCAUGAAACACAAGCAUGUCAGUGCCAGCUGGACAAACAUUGUGUCUCGUGGGCCACCCUCACAGUGUUGCUGGUUUAGAGUAAAAUUCUGGGUAUUGUUGCAUCCAAUUGCAAAGUGUACCAGCUUGUUAAAGACAGAUGUCCAUUCACCUUUCUUUGAAGUUACUUUAGUACCAAUUCUUCCACACCCUUGCUGUCAUCCCAAGAUGAGCUUUGUAAUGAGUUUCCUGGAUAACUCUGUGGAUGUGACUGUAACGCCGACCGAGGAGUGUUUAAAGUAACAGUGCCCUUGAAAUCAAGCCAUAAGCUCUUUUACAUUUCUUACACGUUCACAGGACUCAGUAGGAGGGGAUGGCUUUGGUGUUUCUAAUUUAACUGAAAUGCUGACAUCUGUUAGAAAUUCUUACGGAUACAGAGGACCAAGUUUCCUCCCUGUUGCUUGGCCAUUGAGCCUAAUUUAAAGUGAUAAAUGUAUGAGUCCUUUCUUCUGCCAUCUGCUGGUCGCUGAGACACUUACAGCUUGAGUCUCAGCUAAAGGUGCAUUACUGGUUUGGAGGGUGGUUUGUUUACACUCCCCUGCAGGGUUUGAUGCAGUGCUGCUCACCAGGUUUCAUCUCUUGUUAGGGGCUAUCUCAGCCUACUUUUCAACUCUGACUUUAUAGGAAGGCAUGAAUGUAAAAUGUAGAAAAAACACAAAUUCUGAAAGCCAACUUAUUUGAAAUUCAGAGGGUAAGAGACAUACUUGUUAGAAAAUGUUAGAAAGUGGACCAAGGGCAACUUAUCCCCACUUGAACAUUGCCAAUACAUCAGCUGAGAAAACAGCUGAUUCU
rnacentral:lncRNA from 1 species